AGAGUGGGGGUUUGAGUCAAGAAUGACUUGCCGGAUUUACGUCAAAGGUAAUAGGUGAUUAGUCGGCUUUCAUUUAAUCUUUCGGCAAGUUGUUCUUGAUUCACCUUUGCUCUCU
rnacentral:pre_miRNA from 1 species